rnacentral:rRNA from 1 species
UACGUAGGGUGCAAGCGUUGUCCGGAAUUAUUGGGCGUAAAGAGCUCGUAGGCGGUCUGUCGCGUCUGCUGUGAAAACUCGGGGCUUAACCCCGGGCCUGCAGUGGGUACGGGCAGACUAGAGUGCGGUAGGGGAGACUGGAAUUCCUGGUGUAGCGGUGGAAAUGCGCAGAUAUCAGGAGGAACACCGGUGGCGAAGGCGGGGUCUCUGGGCCGAAGCGAACGCUGAGGAGCGAAAGCGUGGGGAGCGAACAGG